rnacentral:lncRNA from 1 species
AAUGUAAAAUUUACUCAACAACAUGGUGAGAGCCAUGCUACUAGAUUUUAGUUGGUUAUAGAGUAUGAUUAAAUUACUACUUUAAAAGGAGGUUAUUUAAAAGGAUUCUUAUUAGAAUUUGUAUAACUUUAAUUUCUUUUGAUAGUGGCUUUUAAGAUUGGUUUUGAUUGAUAGUAACUUCUAAAUAUUUAGAGUCAUCUUUGUCAGACAUUGGUGACCUUUGAAAACUUAUUUUGGUUCUUUUAUUUAAUAUUUAGAGCAUAAAUUAUAUAAAUCUUAUAAGAAAAAAUAUUGAAGAAGGAUUUUGGUAGCAAAAGGAAUAAUUAGUGUACCAAUAUGGAUGAAUGGA